rnacentral:rRNA from 1 species
UACGUAGGGUGCAAGCGUUGUCCGGAAUUACUGGGCGUAAAGCGUGCGCAGGCGGUGAUGUAAGACAGAUGUGAAGUCCCCGGGCUCAACCUGGGAACUGCAUUUGUGACUGCAUCGCUGGAGUACGGCAGAGGGGGAUGGAAUUCCGCGUGUAGCAGUGAAAUGCGUAGAGAUGCGGAGGAACACCGAUGGCGAAGGCAGCCCCCUGGGCUGACACUGACGCUCAGGCACGAAAGCGUGGGGAGCAAACAGG